CCUACGGGUGGCAGCAGUAGGGAAUAUUGCUCAAUGGUGGAAACCCUGAAGCAGCAACGCCGCGUGGAGGAUGAAGGUUUUCGGAUUGUUAACUUCUUUUGUUAGAGACGAUAAUGUUGGUACCUAAGGAGUAAGCACCGGAUAACUCAGUGCCAGCAGCCGUGGUAAUACGGAGGGUGCAAGCGUUACUCGGAAUCACUGGGCGUAAAGCGCGUGUAGGCGGGUUAGCAAGUCAGAUGUGAAAUCCUAGGGCUUAACGAUAAAACUGCAUUUGAAACUGUUAUUCUAGAGUAUAGGAGAGGUAGGUGGAAUUCUGGGUGUAGGGGUAAAAUCCGUAGAGAUCAAGAGGAAUACUCAGUGCGAAGGCGGCCUACUGGAACGUAACUGACGCUGAUGCGCGAAAGCGUGGGGAGCAAACAGGAUUAGAUACCCGAGUAGUC
rnacentral:rRNA from 1 species